CCUACGGGUGGCAGCAGUGAGGAAUAUUGGUCAAUGGAGGCAACUCUGAACCAGCCAAGUAGCGUGCAGGAUGACGGCUCUAUGGGUUGUAAACUGCUUUUAUGUGGGGAUAAACUGAGUCACGUGUGGCUUAUUGAAGGUACCGCAUGAAUAAGGACCGGCUAAUUCCGUGCCAGCAGCCGCGGUAAUACGGAGGGUCCGGGCGUUAUCCGGAUUUAUUGGGCUUAAAGGGAGCGCAGGCCGCCCCUUAAGCUGGUUGUGAAAUGCCGCGGCUCAACCGUGGAACUGCAGCGGAUACGGGGGGGCUUGAGUGUGGCGGAGGUAGGCGGAAUGCGUGGUGUAGCGGUGAAAUGCUUAGAUAUCACGAAGAACUCCGAUUGCGAAGGCAGCCUACCGUAGCGUUACUGACGCUGAGGCUCGAAAGUGCGGGUAUCGAACAGGAUUAGAUACCCCGGUAGUC
rnacentral:rRNA from 1 species